rnacentral:rRNA from 1 species
GCUCAACCGGGGAGGGUCAUUGGAAACUGGGGAACUUGAGUGCAGAAGAGGAGAGUGGAAUUCCACGUGUAGCGGUGAAAUGCGUAGAGAUGUGGAGGAACACCAGUGGCGAAGGCGACUCUCUGGUCUGUAACUGACGCUGAGGCGCGAAAGCGUGGGGAGCGAACAGGAUUAGAUACCCUGGUAGUCCACGCCGUAAACGAUGAGUGCUAAGUGUUAGAGGGUUUCCGCCCUUUAGUGCUGCAGCAAACGCAUUAAGCACUCCGCCUGGGGAGUACGGUCGCAAGACUGAAACUCAAAGGAAUUGACGGGGGCCCGCACAAGCGGUGGAGCAUGUGGUUUAAUUCGAAGCAACGCGAAGAACCUUACCAGGUCUUGUCAUCCUCUGACAACCCUAGAGAUAGGGCUUCCCCUUCGGGGGCAGAGUGACAGGUGGUGCAUGGUUGUCGUCAGCUCGUGUCGUGAGAUGUUGGGUUAAGUCCCGCAACGAGCGCAACCCUUGAUCUUAGUUGCCAGCAUUCAGUUGGGCACUCUAAGGUGACUGCCGGUGACAAACCGGAGGAAGGUGGGGAUGACGUCAAAUCAUCAUGCCCCUUAUGACCUGGGCUACACACGUGCUACAAUGGGCAGAACAAAG